rnacentral:rRNA from 1 species
GACGAACGCUGGCGGCGUGCUUAACACAUGCAAGUCGAGCGGUAAGGCCUCUUCGGGGGUACACGAGCGGCGAACGGGUGAGUAACACGUGGGUGACCUGCCCUCAGCUCUGGGAUAAGCCUGGGAAACUGGGUCUAAUACCGGAUAUGACCUUUCCUCGCAUGGGGUUUGGUGGAAAGUUUUUUCGGCUGGGGAUGGGCCCGCGGCCUAUCAGCUUGUUGGUGGGGUGAUGGCCUACCAAGGCGACGACGGGUAGCCGGCCUGAGAGGGCGACCGGCCACGCUGGGACUGAGACACGGCCCCGACUCCUACGGGAGGCAGCAGUGGGGCAUAUUGCGCAAUGGGCGGAAGCCUGACGCAGCGACGCCGCGUGGGGGAUGCCGGCCUUCGGGUUGUAAACCUCUUUCGACCCCGACGGAUUUGGACGGUAGGGGUAGAAGAAGCACCGGCCAACUACGUG